GGGGCGCUGGAGCCUAUCCCAGCUGUGAUAGGGCGAGAGGCGGGGAGAAAAGCUGUUGUGUUACUCAGCCAUCAGCGUGCUGUUGUCAUGGACUGACUGGCCCAACGCUUCAAUAACAGCCUUUCUGGAGGUUUACUCACAGCCAGAUUGUAAAGGAGUCAGCAAUCCAGCCCAGCCCCACCCUACUGGAGCCCACCAUGUCUUUGAUGGCAGAAAAACAGCCAUCAAAGCAGAAAAACCACAUUAUCUUUCUCAGGCUUCCCUUCCAAGCUAGUGAGAGAGAGACUGUGUGAAGAGGGGAAAAAAGGCUGGGUUGUUACUGGAAGCAGAAAAUAAAGAAGAUACUGGAGAAUUACCCAUGGUGGAGGGCCUGACAUGGGUGGCAGGAGUUGACUCACAUGCUUGUCAUAGAUGGUGCUUCUCAGGUAAGGAAAACAUCCAUCCAUUGUCUGUCGUCUAUAUAGGCUCGAGACAAAAUGCUCCGAACCCUCUUCUUGGCACCUUCCUCAGCUCAUCUAGGGGAAGACCAAGGAAUUCGCCAAACUAGCCAAACGAGAGACAUAAUGUCUCCAACAUGUCCUGGAUCUGGCCCAGGGCUUCUUCCCAGUAGAUCAUGCCUGAAGAAGCUCACCUAUAAGCAGUAGAAGAGGCAUCCGAGGGAGGUACCCGAACCAUCUCUACUUACUCUCAUUUUAAACCCCAUCCCUUCAGCUCAGAGUGUUCUGAAUCGUGGCAUGGAGCAACCUUCCAAAAAACAGGAGAAACAUUUCAGAAAGUCCCUCUGUUUGGAGCCAAGUGUUAAUGCAAACCCUUUGACUCUACAGGAGGCAGUGAGGAGGAGGAGGUGAAACCAACCCAAGCUGAAGAGCAGCACAGGCGAAUGAUAUCACUUCUCUCUUCAUUAGUCCGGCUUGCAUGUGAUCUCACCCUAUAUUCACAGAGAUUAAAUAUCUAUUUUGCAUUAAGUCAGAGCACAACACAUAAUGUCAAAAGUUACUCUUUUAGAGGAAGCUGUUUAUAUACUCAAGUCUAAAGUGUAAAGAAAUUAGCAGAAAAGAGAAUCUUUUUUUCAUCUAAAGUUUCAUCCUAACCAAAAAAGGUAGGUUUUAAAUAUAUUUUCUAUUGUAACGGACUAUUGUAACUCUGCUGCCAGAGUUUUCCAGUCAAAAUGCUGGUAGCACCCACAAAGAGCUUUCUUAGUUUGGUCAUGUCAGUAUAGACCAUAUCUGUGAAUUGAAGACUUACAGAGAAAAGGGGGACUUCAGUGCUGUAACACCCCACCCACUCCCACGCCCCUCCACUAGUGUGGUUGUUCUUUCUCAUGUCAGCUUAAUGUUUUGCAUUCAACAGCUCUUGGCUGCUGCAUUUAAAGCCAGAAAGAUCACAUGCACUGUCAUUUUCAGUAAUAGAUUUUGCCACUUUACUAAACACACACAUCAGUCUGUUUAUCAUUGCAAAAGAACAGAUUUGAAUCAUUGUAGCGUCCCACAAAGACUUGUGAUCAAAAUGUGAUUGCUUUUUGCAAAAUUAGACAGGACUUUUAACUUUAUUCAAACUGCAGCUGCCAUUUCGUUUGUAGUUUAUUAUGUCAUCUGCAGCUUUUCAGGGGUUUAUUUCUUGUUCAGUGAAGAAAAUUUACUCUGUUUUGUCUUAGAUCAAGUCAGUUAAAGUCAGGUUCAAUGUCUGAAGUGGAAAUGCAACAGCAGACAUGUGAUCAUCACUGACCAGUUGAAGUUUGAUUUUGUUAAACUUCAUAAUUGAGACUGUUUCUUCAUAUGAAUGUAGAUCCACAGAGAGGCAUUUUCUCAGCAUGUCUCAUUAUUUGUGGAAAAUCCUCCUCUUUGAGAGAAGAAUAAAAAUCCAGCAGUCAUACUGACUUGAAGUGCUCUGCCAGUGAUGUAAAGUAAAAGUAAAGUGAAACAAACCGUCUGUGAUUCAAUGCGCGUGUCCUGAUGAAGUUAACUACUACAUGGUUAGUUUAUUAACACUUACGCAAUACCUCCUCAUGUAUGAAACAAUGCAAAAAUAACAAUUUCAACCACUUUAUCUUUCAUUCCCUUCAAAAGUCACUAUUUUAACCUUAGAUGUGAAGAGCUAUCGAUGGUUCCACCUGCCAGUUUGUCCCAUUUUAGCCCAAGACUAUCCAAGCAUGCAGUUACAUCUAUGAACAAAGUCCCUUUCAUUGAGUGUAUUGCUGCCAGCUUCUCUGUAAUCAAAAACUCUAGAUGAGUAACUGGUCUCUGGUGCAUACAUCACAACUCUGGUCCAGAGCCAAGGAGAAAAAGUCAAAAUUGCCCACUUCAUUUCUCGAUUGAAGCUCCAGAUUUCCUGCAAUGUCCUCGAUCCAUUUUGUUACAGACUUACUGGAGUUUCUGUAGAAGGGCACAUUUCCAAAUGUUUCUUUUUUCAGUGUAUAUUAGCACAACAGAGUCCACCAAACACUUUAUGAUAAACUCCUCGGGAAAAAAGUGGCUUAUGGUUUACAGUAAUUUUGUGGGAAAUCAUGCAAUUGGUCUUGACUGCACCACCCCUGGAUGUGUACAGCUCGGUAAAAAGCCCUUGUUGCUUUUGCAGAUUUUUUUUUUUUUUUUUUUUUUUUUAGCAAAGUUUCAGAUGUCAAUCCCCAUUGUGCAACAGUCACGUUGUUGUGUUUCUCUGCAUGUUUAGGUUCAUAAAGGCAAUUCAAGCUGUAAUCUCUAAACACAGCAAUCUGCUCUCCACAAACUAAGG